AAUUGAUUCUGAAUCCAAAUUUAACUUCCUAACGGAAUAUGAGUCCUUCACAAAAAUUAAAGCAUGAAGUAAAAGAUGCAAUUUAUUAAAUGUUUAGAAGCUUCAGGAACAGAUUAUUACACGAGACAGAAAAAACAAUCCUGCAUUUUACUUAGUAUGCAAUAUUUCACCUUGAGCAUCUUAUAAUAAUUGAUAUCUUGCCAACAAUUAGCCAGCAAGGCUGUCUUUGAUGUGCAGAACUUGUCUCUAAGAAGUCAGGAACACUGAAGAUGAUUUGAUCAUUCUAGGAUUAGUAGGGAGCUUUGUUGGGAGAGGAUCUUGGCAGAACAUGCUGGAAGGUCCUGGGCUUCAGAGGAUGCUGUUGGAGCAAGAGUUAUUGAUCACUAUGACAGUACUGUUGGGAUUGUGAUGGCUGAGAUUAAAAAAAAAAAGAGACUUAUAAUGCCAUCUUCAGAGAGUGCACACACUCCUGUACAACUCGUACCUGAAGGACAACACCACUUUUUCCUGGCUGAUUCAUUCAAAAGACCAGGCUAAGACACGGUGUCUUCCAGAGCACACCACACUGCUGCAUUUUAGAUGUAGUGAUGAACAGACCUGCCCCAAGCUCAAGCAGUCC